UACGUAGGCAGCAAGCGUUGUUCGGAGUUACUGGGCGUAAAGGGUGCGUAGGCGGUUGUUUAAGUUUGGUGUGAAAUCUCCCGGCUCAACUGGGAGGGUGCGCCGAAUACUGAAUGACUAGAGUGCGGGAGAGGAGAGUGGAAUUCCUGGUGUAGCGGUGAAAUGCGUAGAUAUCGGGAGGAACACCUGCGGCGAAAGCGGCUCACUGGACCACAACUGACGCUGAGGCGCGAAAGCUAGGGGAGCAAACAGG
rnacentral:rRNA from 1 species